AUGUUGGCUCUUAGAAGUCGUAGGUUAUUGUUGAAGGAAGUUGGAGCGGAAGAGAGAGGCUCGGUUGGCUGUUUAAUGGUGAGACUUGUGAGCUGGGUUGGAGUGUUGUUGGAUAUUGAAGAGAAAAUGGUUGGAUCUGUGUUGUUGGGAAAUGCUGAUGGUGAUGGAAGUCGCGAGGAGAUUGCAGAAGUUGAUAGAGGAUAUUACCAUCGCGAACGCAGGUAG